GAUGAACGCUGGCGGCGUGCCUAAUACAUGCAAGUCGAGCGCUGGAGGUCGGUACUUGUUCUACUUGGAUGAGCAGCGAACGGGUGAGUAACGCGUGGGGAAUCUGCCUAUGAGCGGGGGAUAACUUUUGGAAACGAAUGCUAAUACCGCAUAAAAAUUUUAAACAAAAGUUUUAAGUUUGAAAGAUGCAAUUGCUUCAAUCAAAGAUGCUAUCGCGUCGUAUUUGAUUGUUUGUGAGGUAAAGGCUUAUCAAGGCGAUGAUUCAUAGCCGUCCUUAGAGGGUGAACAGCCACAAUGGGACUUGGACACAGCCCAAACUCCCACAGGAGGCAACAAUAAGGAAUCUUCGGCAAUGGACGAAAGUCUUACCGGACAACGCCACGUGAAUGAAUGAAGGUUUCCGAUCGUAAAACUCUGUUUGUAAAGAAAAACGAUAGGUGUAAGUAAAAGCUCAUCAAGUGACGGUAACUACCCAGAAAGCGACGGCUAACUACGUG
rnacentral:rRNA from 1 species